GACCACAUGGUAUAGUGGUUUGAGCACUGGACUAUGACUCUGGAGACCAGGAUUCAAAUUCCAACUCGGCCA